UCUCAAUAAUUCAUUGCGACUAAACGAUAUAGGAGAGCUGGGACCGAGAGGAUUCGUAAUUUAAAAUCAGUUCGAUUUCUGUUGACGAUGAGGUGUCAGGUGUUGGCAGUCCUGGUCUUGGUGUCCGUGGCGGGUGCUAUGUACUUUGACGAUGUACCAGACUAUUCCAUGACCAGGUCCUACACACGAAGUGCCUGCAUGCAGUGUCUGUUCACACACAAACGAGAAUACUGCGAGAUUUGUAAAUAUGAGAACGAUGGUGGCGCGAACACAAGCAAAAGAUCUUACUAUUAUCAGAGAAGGGUUCGGGGGCGGAAUUAUUACUGCCUGUGUUGUGCGCGAUCAAGGUUAACAAACUCUGGUUGCUGCAAUUUGUGUAGCAAUGAUAUGUGAGUAUAUAUCACAGAAAUAUCGUGUUUUGCAACAUUUAAGGUUGGUUUUUUUUUUUCGAUUAUCGUUCGAACAAAGCACCCCUUUCUCCCAGCAAGUUCUGGUCCUUACAUGUGAUGCCAUUAUUAGACAGAAAUUAACACAAAAUAUAUGCAAUACUUUAUUCUUGUGUUUUGUGGCAGUAUUCAGUGGUAAUAUUCAUAUGUAUAAAAAUAAACAUUCUUUGGCACUUUAGCACACAAUAAAUAACAACUUCAAAAUUAAUUGUCUAUCUGUCAAGUACAUUGCUCCACCAUGUUUUUCUGUCUACGCAUGUGUCAUCCGAGCGCCACCAUGCGUCCAAAUCGUCGUACCAGAUAGCCGGAAGCGCUUCUUCAUGUAACAAAGAACACACGCGACACCAAGGUUUGGAUAACAUGAAAUCACCAUAGGAUUUCCAUCGGAAAUAUUCAUUGUACAAAUCGUCAUUUUCGUCGAGUUUCAGCAGGUACUCGGAUAAAUCUUUAGGACUCUUGAAAUCCUCCACGUCAAUGUACGAGUGCGCAGGCAACAUGUUUUUGUAUUCCCAG